CCUACGGGUGGCUGCAGUCGAGGAUCUUCGGCAAUGGGGGCAACCCUGACCGAGCGACGCCGCGUGGGCGACGAAGGCCUUCGGGUUGUAAAGCCCUGUCGAGGGGGAGGAAAGCCGAAAGGUUUGACCCAUCCCUGGAGGAAGCACGGGCUAAGUUCGUGCCAGCAGCCGCGGUAAGACGAACCGUGCGAACGUUGUUCGGAAUCACUGGGCUUAAAGGGCGCGUAGGCGGGCUGGCAAGUCCGGGGUGAAAUCCGUCGGCUCAACCGGCGGAC
rnacentral:rRNA from 1 species